CGAACGCUGGCGGCGUGCUUCACACAUGCAAGUCGAACGGUGAAGCGCCUUCCUUUUUGGUGGGUGUGGAUGAGUGGCGAACGGGUGAGUAACACGUGAGUAACCUGCCCCCUUCUUCUGGAUAACCGCAUGAAAGUGUGGCUAAUACGGGAUAUUCUGGGUCUGUCGCAUGAUGGGUCUGGGAAAGAUAUUGUUUCGGUGGGGGAUGGGCUCGCGGCCUAUCAGCUUGUUGGUGGGGUGAUGGCCUACCAAGGCGGUGACGGGUAGCCGGCCUGAGAGGGUGGACGGUCACACUGGGACUGAGACACGGCCCAGACUCCUACGGGAGGCAGCAGUGGGGAAUAUUGCACAAUGGGCGCAAGCCUGAUGCAGCGACGCCGCGUGAGGGAUGGAGGCCUUCGGGUUGUGAACCUCUUUCGCCAGUGAAGCAGGCCUGCCUCGUUUGUGGGUGGGUUGACGGUAGCUGGAUAAGAAGCGCCGGCUAACUACGUG
rnacentral:rRNA from 1 species